UGUUCCUUUUAUGAAUAGAAGUGUCUAGAUAUAGACCAUCAAAGACUUCUUUUGAUUGUACAUUGUUGAUGGAGCCAGCUCCUGUAGCUGUUCUGACUGGGUGAGAGAAGAAAUCAUCCUCUCCAUGAGCAGCUCCCCAAAUGUGAUCCCUGGAGAUCUCUGUCAAGCUGUCUGGAGUGGCUCAUUACCAUGAGUGCUAACCUCAAGGCAGACCAUCAAGGAAUAGGGCAUGAACUCCAAACUGGUGGAUUAGGUCAGUCUUCAGACUGAUUCAGGGAAAAUAUAAACAAACAACCCCCGGUUGGAACACUAGAAGCUGCUGAAGGGACUAGAUGGAUGUUGCCUUAAUAUGCCAGUUUAACCUGAUCACUCAAUAUGUUUUAAUAAAAUGUUGUGCAGACAGCCGUAUCUUGCUAUCGGUUUAUCUGCAUAGUGAAUUUUCAUUGACUUCAAAGGGAAGGUGACAGGCAUUUGUCAAUAAACAAAAUGUUCAAGACAAUUUCUGGAUAAUACACAGUAAAAUAAAUGCUUACCGUUUUCAAGGGAUGCUGCCAAAACGAUUCAUUAUAUUUCAGAUAUAACUAUAAGAAUUUCUCAGAGGUUAGCCUUUGUUAUACAACAAAAAGUCAUUUUCUAUAUUAGAAACUGUAUAUUACUGGUGAUUGUUUCUUCUGGUCUUUUAAUUGCUUAGCUCUGGUCCCUAAUUUUAAAAAAAACAACAAAACACAGGAUAAUAAUGUAUAGCAUACAAAAUUUCAGAUAGUCUAUGAAUAAGCAUUGGAAACUUCAAGUAAAGCUUUUUUUUUUUCUGUCCUAAUCCAGUGUCCACAUCCAUGCAUCUGAGAUUAGUCUUCCUUGCAAAUGUUCUGUGUAAUGCAAGGCCUGGGACAAAGUUUGGGAAGUUGAUAAAUAUUUUUUUAAAACUAUCCCUAAUGAAUGGUUACAAAUGUCAUUUGAAAACUGAUGUGCUGUGUAAUUUGAUUCUGUGUAAUCUUUUUUUAAUGAUUUUUUC